rnacentral:rRNA from 1 species
GACGAACGCUGGCGGCGUGCUUAACACAUGCAAGUCGAACGAAAAGAGGGGAAAAUCUUGCUCUUUCCGGAAUUGCGUGGCAAACGGGUGAGUAACACGUAAACAACCUGCCUUCAGGGUGGAGACAACAGACGCAAACGACAGCUCAUACCAAAUAAGUUACAAGGGCGGUCUAGCCUAUAAAAGAGAAGGUGGCUUAUACAUGUAAGCUAUCGCCUGAAGUGAGCUUUGCGUCUGAUUAGCUGGUUGGCGAGGUAACGGCCCACCAAGGCGAAGAUCAGGAGCCGGUCUGAGAGGGUGAACGGCCACACUGGGACUGAGACACGGGCCAGACUCCUACGGGAGGCAGCAGUGGGGAAUCUUCCGCAAUAGGCGAAAGCCUGACCGAGCAACGCCGCGUGAGUGAUGACGGCCUUCGGGUUGUAAAACUCUGUGUUCCGGGACGAAAAGGCAGAGUGCGAAAAACAACCUGCAUUGACGGUACCUAAAAAGCAAGCCACGGCUAACUACGUG